AUGGGCACAAAAGACCAGUUAUUGAUUGACAAAAUGAUUCUAGAGAACCGUAAAAGCCGAAAAGCUAAUCUUCACAUGGCGUGGAUUGACUACAAAAAGGCCUUUGACUUACUCCCACACAGCUGGAUCAUCAAGUGCCUGGACGCCAUCAGGAUUAGUAAAAACAUUGGUACCUUUAUUGAAAACAUGAUGGAGCACUGGAAAACUGAACUGUUUGUUGGAAAUGAAAGCUAUGGACUUGUCAAUAUCCGAAGAGGAAUUUUCCAGAGAGACUCAUUGUCCCCUCUGCUUUUCAUUAUUGCCAUGAUCCCUCUAUCAACAAUCUUACAAAAAACAAAUCUCGGCUCUCAAACCUCUAAGAAAAUUCACAAAAUUUUGCAUCUGAUGUACAUAGAUGACCUGAAGCUGUAUGGGAAAAUGGAAACUGAAAUCCAGUCUCUGACUAACACUGUCCGAAUUUUUAGCACUGAUAUCAGCAUGGAGUUUGGUUUCCGUUUUCCCAUACAGCUUCAGGUCAUCCAUGUACAUCAGAUGCAAAAUUUUGUGAGACUUCUUAAAUGUUUGAUAGCCGAGAUUUGUUUUUUGUAAGAUUGUUGAUAGAGGGAUCAUGGCAAUAAUGAAAAGCAGAGGGGACAAUGAGUCUCCAUGGAAAAUUCCUCAUUUUGUCAAUUAAUAACUGGUCUUUUGUGCCCCUGCUUUUCCGUUUGUUGCCUUUCUGUUCAUCUGGCAAGAUAUUUUUUCUUCAAGAUAAUCUUGAAUUCUGUCAGCUUUGAUGCCAGUCAGUAGUUUAAACAUAGUGGGCAGACACGUUAUUGGCCUGUAGUUUCCUGGUGCUGCUCCUUUUGCUGGAUCCUUUUGUAUCAGGUAAGUUCUUCCAGUUGUUAGCCAUUCACUUAUACUUCCUUUCUGCAGCAUCUCAUUGAAUUGUUGGGCCAUUUUUCCAUGUAACCUAAUCAGAUGUUUGAGACAAAAUCCAUGAAGUUGAUCACUACCAGGCGAUGUCCAGUUCUUGCCUUUUUGCACUCGUUUGCUGAUCAUUUCAGUUGUUAUUUCCAUCUCUUCCAUUUUGUUCUGUGAGAAUUUUCCUUCAAACUCCUUUAUCUACCCAGCAUUUUUGUUGUAGUUCUUAUUAUUUUCCCAAAGCUCUUUCCAGAACUUCGUUGUUGCGGUUUUCUCUGGCUUUAUGGUUACUGUGUCUGUUGUUUGGUUCAGGCUCUGGUGGAACCAUCUUUGGUCUGAUUGAAACAGUUGAUUUUGUCUGUACUGGAUGAUUCUGGCUUCAUAUCUUUCAAUUUUUCUGGCUCUUGCUGUAAUUUGUUUUUUCACAAUUUCCAAAGCUUCUUCAAUUUUUCUGGUGUUCAGCCAGUACUUUCUGAUCAGGUAUUGCUUGAUUUUGUCAUUCUUCAGUUUCUUCUCUUUCAUAUUUUUCAGGUUACUUGCAUCUGAUCUGAGUUUCUUGAUUUUCAACUCUAGCCUGACCUUCCACUUUGGUUUUCCAGUCGAUUUUCUUUGGGGCUGCCUUGGUUGUAGGAGCCCAAGCUCUUCUGUUACUAUCACUGCUGCACUGUAGGCAUACUGGUUUGUUUGUUCAAUUGAUGUUAUUUGGACAGUGGAGAGUACUGUAUUCACAUCUUUCAUGAGAGGUGCCAGGUGUCUCCUGGGCAGUGUUUUUAGAGUUGGGAACCGCUUUCUUAUUGUGUUUGCUGCAGCAUGAGCAUCUUAUCCUUGAGCUCUUGUUGUCUUGCUGUCAAGGUUCCUGGUGGUUCAACAGGUGUUUCAAGUGCUGGUUCUUCAAAUUCUUGCAAAAGCUCCACACUUUCUUCUGGUUCAAUCUGUUCCAGCAUUCCAAGUGUUGCUGGAGUCUCUGCUGCUGUCUGUUUUGUGGCCUGAUGGCAAUUUGCUUUGCAGAUUUUCUGGAUUUCUUCAAGUUCAACUUCACUGAACACUUUGUUUCUGAUUAUGAAUCUUCGUUGGUCAGCCAGUCGGGAUUCUGUUAUCUGUGAGUCAGGGUACUCUUGUUUCCAUAGCUGAUGCAUCCUUUUUUGGUAGCCACGUUUUUGAGGUUCAGAGUUGUAAUAGCAUUUCAUAACUGUGCGGUUUUCUGGCAUUGUAUAUUUCUGCCACUUCUGUGACUGUUCAUUUGUAUUUUGAUUCUGUAGCCCACUUGUCGAUGGAUGUCCAGAAUCAGCAGCAUCCACCACAGUCCUUUUUAUCCUGGGCGAUGACCGAGCCAGUAUAGACUUCGUUUUGGUUUGAUUCUCCAUAAUGCUAAUGGGUUAGGUGCUCUUAGUUCUGUUCCUCAGCUGAGGCCUCUCUGGCUUGGUUGGACCUGCUGGUAGUUACACUACCGCCAGCACAGCUCUCAGCGUCCUCGGAAUGGUUAAGUCCCCUCACCACAUCAAGGUGGCACCUAUGGGGGGUUGUUGUUAUUAUUAUUAUUAUUAUUAUUAUUAUUAUUAUUAUUAUUAUUAUUAUUAUUAUUAUUUCUGGAGCAUUGAUGCCAAGAUGCAACUAGCCAUACCUGUUGUACUGCUGCAUUGGUGUCCGAAUGGUCCAUCCAGGCUGAUGUUUCAUCAUCUUCCUGGAUUA
rnacentral:lncRNA from 1 species